UGUUGUUGUUUUUGUUUUUUUUUUUUCCUUCAGGCUUUGCGCUCGGAGGGAAAACCCGGUUUAAAACGAAAGCCCCUCCGCAGCGCUUUCCCCACCUCCCGCGCACGCUGUGGUGGAGAGAGGGGCAGAACGGCGGUGUUUCCCUUUGGACGACGAGCGCCGGCUGACGGCCCGCCGCCCCCAGGCACUGCCACGGCACCACAGAUGGCCUCAGCUGUGCCGGGGGAGGAACGGGUUGGGUGUCAGGAAGCGUUUCUUGCCACAAAGACCAGUGAUGCUGUCAGCGCUGGGCACCUGCGUGAGGAAACGCCGGCGCAGGGCUGCUGCUGAAAAAAAAAAAAAAGUCUGUCACUUGGCUACCUUCAUCUCAGUGCAGAGUUUGUAGGGAGAAAAAGACAGGUUGAACGCCCCGGCUGUCUGUUUUAUGGACACAUCAGUUUCAGGAAUCAGAGGUGGCUGGGAUGGAAGUGACCUCUGAGGUCACCGGUUCAGCUGGGAAGGACAAGAGUGAAUAGAGGGGAAAUGGAAACAAGUUGUAACAGAAGGAGACCGCUCGGAAUGCGUCGUCUCCUAAUUGUCAGGAGAGCGUGGAAAGAAGAUAUUUAUCGCAUUAGCCCUGCACGAUCAAGGAGAAGGCUGGCUGUUUGAGGAUGCUUUAUUAAUGAAUGCUAGAGGACAUCUUCACCCCUCCUAAGGUACGAGUGGCUCGUUACUGAAAAAUGCAGGGAGAUAAACAGCCAAGUCCUCUGUCUUCUGUGGCUCUUCAGUAGGUGUGUUACACUUGACAUACGUUAUUUAUGAGCCUCAGAUAGUGCCCAAGGCUAAACCUACCACUGCCAUUAAAAAAUAAAAGCCGAUGUUAC
rnacentral:lncRNA from 7 species